rnacentral:rRNA from 1 species
CCAGACUCCUACGGGAGGCAGCAGUGGGGAAUAUUGCACAAUGGGGGAAACCCUGAUGCAGCAACGCCACGUGAGUGAGGAAGUAUUUCGGUAUGUAAAGCUCUAUCAGCAGGGAAUAGAAAAGAAGGUACCUGAAAAAGAAGCCCCGGCUAACUACGUGCCAGCAGCCGCGGUAAUACGUAGGGGGCAAGCGUUAUCCGGAUUUACUGGGUGUAAAGGGAGCGUAGACGGAAAGGCAAGUCAGAAGUGAAAGCCCAAGGCUCAACCAUGGGACUGCUUUUGGAACUGCGUGGCUAGAGUGCAGGAGGGGCAGGCGGAAUUCCUGGUGUAGCGGUGAAAUGCGUAGAUAUCAGGAGGAACACCGGUGGCGAAGGCGGCCUGCUGGACUGCAACUGACGUUGAGGCCCGAAAGCGUGGGGAGCAAACAGGAUUAGAUACCCUCGUAAAC